rnacentral:rRNA from 1 species
UACGGGGGGGGCAAGCGUUGUUCGGAAUUACGGGGCGUAAAGGGCUCGUAGGCGGCCAACUAAGUCAUACGUGAAAUCCCCCGGCUUAACCGGGGAACUGCGUCUGAUACUGGAUGGCUUGAGUUCGGGAGAGGGAUGCGGAAUUCCAGGUGUAGCGGUGAAAUGCGUAGAUAUCUGGAGGAACACCGGUGGCGAAGGCGGCAUCCUGGACCGAUACUGACGCUGAGGAGCGAAAGCCAGGGGAGCAAACGGG